UACGUAGGGUGCGAGCGUUGUCCGGAAUUAUUGGGCGUAAAGAGCUCGUAGGCGGUCUGUUGCGUCCGCUGUGAAAACUCGGGGCUUAACCCCGAGCCUGCAGUGGAUACGGGCAGACUAGAGGUAGGUAGGGGAGAAUGGAGUUCCCGGUGUAGCGGUGAAAUGCGCAGAUAUCAGGAGGAACACCGGUGGCGAAGGCGGGUCUCUGGGCAGUAACUGACGCUGAGGAGCGAAAGCGUGGGGAGCGAACAGG
rnacentral:rRNA from 1 species